UUGGUGUUACUGCGAAGGGGGGACGGAGAAGGCUAUGUUGGCCGGGCGACGGUUGUCCCGGUUUAAGCGUGUAGGCUGGUUUUCCAGGCAAAUCCGGAAAACCAAGGCUGAGGCGUGAUGACGAGGCACUACGGUGCUGAAGCGACAAAUGCCCUGCUUCCAGGAAAAGCCUCUAAGCAUCAGGUAACAUCAAAUCGUACCCCAAACCGACACAGGUGGUCAGGUAGAGAAUACCAAGGCGCUUGAGAGAACUCGGGUGAAGGAACUAGGCAAAAUGGUGCCGUAACUUCGGGAGAAGGCACGCUGAUAUGUAGGUGAAGCGACUUGCUCGUGGAGCUGAAAUCAGUCGAAGAUACCAGCUGGCUGCAACUGUUUAUUAAAAACACAGCACUGUGCAAACACGAAAGUGGACGUAUACGGUGUGACGCCUGCCCGGUGCCGGAAGGUUAAUUGAUGGGGUUAGCGGUAACGCGAAGCUCUUGAUCGAAGCCCCGGUAAACGGCGGCCGUAACUAUAACGGUCCUAAGGUAGCGAAAUUCCUUGUCGGGUAAGUUCCGACCUGCACGAAUGGCGUAAUGAUGGCCAGGCUGUCUCCACCCGAGACUCAGUGAAAUUGAACUCGCUGUGAAGAUGCAGUGUACCCGCGGCAAGACGGAAAGACCCCGUGAACCUUUACUAUAGCUUGACACUGAACAUUGAGCCUUGAUGUGUAGGAUAGGUGGGAGGCUUUGAAGUGUGGACGCCAGUCUGCAUGGAGCCGACCUUGAAAUACCACCCUUUAAUGUUUGAUGUUCUAACGUUGGCCCGUAAUCCGGGUUGCGGACAGUGUCUGGUGGGUAGUUUGACUGGGGCGGUCUCCUCCUAAAGAGUAACGGAGGAGCACGAAGGUUGGCUAAUCCUGGUCGGACAUCAGGAGGUUAGUGCAAUGGCAUAAGCCAGCUUGACUGCGAGCGUGACGGCGCGAGCAGGUGCGAAAGCAGGUCAUAGUGAUCCGGUGGUUCUGAAUGGAAGGGCCAUCGCUCAACGGAUAAAAGGUACUCCGGGGAUAACAGGCUGAUACCGCCCAAGAGUUCAUAUCGACGGCGGUGUUUGGCACCUCGAUGUCGGCUCAUCACAUCCUGGGGCUGAAGUAGGUCCCAAGGGUAUGGCUGUUCGCCAUUUAAAGUGGUACGCGAGCUGGGUUUAGAACGUCGUGAGACAGUUCGGUCCCUAUCUGCCGUGGGCGCUGGAGAACUGAGGGGGGCUGCUCCUAGUACGAGAGGACCGGAGUGGACGCAUCACUGGUGUUCGGGUUGUCAUGCCAAUGGCACUGCCCGGUAGCUAAAUGCGGAAGAGAUAAGUGCUGAAAGCAUCUAAGCACGAAACUUGCCCCGAGAUGAGUUCUCCCUGACUCCUUGAGAGUCCUGAAGGAACGUUGAAGACGACGACGUUGAUAGGCCGGGUGUGUAAGCGCAGCGAUGCGUUGAGCUAACCGGUACUAAUGAACCGUGAGGCUUAACCUU
rnacentral:rRNA from 1 species